AACAGCCACCCCUGUUUUUCAGCACCGCUCCGUGUGGAGAUGGCGCCCUCUUUGACAAGUCCUGCAGCGACCGUGCUAUGGAAAGCACAGAGUCCCGCCACUACCCUGUCUUCGAGAAUCCCAAACAAGGAAAGCUCCGCACCAAGGUGGAGAACGGAGAAGGCACGAUCCCUGUGGAAUCCAGUGACAUUGUGCCUACGUGGGAUGGCAUUCGGCUCGGGGAGAGACUCCGUACCAUGUCUUGUAGUGACAAAAUCCUACGCUGGAAUGUGCUGGGCCUGCAAGGGGCACUGUUGACCCACUUCCUGCAGCCCAUUUAUCUCAAAUCUGUCACAUUGGGUUACCUUUUCAGCCAAGGGCAUCUGACCCGUGCUAUUUGCUGUCGUGUGACAAGAGAUGGGAGCGCAUUUGAGGAUGGACUACGACAUCCCUUUAUUGUCAACCACCCCAAGGUGCUAUAACCCCCUUCUAUUUUCCCUGACUUUUUCCUCCUUUUCAAGCAGUCAUGUAAAUAGAGGAAAAAUGUACACUGUGGGCAAGGGGAACAUUGCCCACAGU
rnacentral:sRNA from 1 species